GACGAACGCUGGCGGCGUGCUUAACACAUGCAAGUCGAACGGAAAGGCCCUGCUUUUGUGGGGUGCUCGAGUGGCGAACGGGUGAGUAACACGUGAGUAACCUGCCCUUGACUUUGGGAUAACUUCAGGAAACUGGGGCUAAUACCGGAUAGGAGCUCCUGCUGCAUGGUGGGGGUUGGAAAGUUUCGGCGGUUGGGGAUGGACUCGCGGCUUAUCAGCUUGUUGGUGGGGUAGUGGCUUACCAAGGCUUUGACGGGUAGCCGGCCUGAGAGGGUGACCGGCAGGAUGGGGAGAGGGAGCGCGGGCAGACGGCGGGGGGAGGCAGGAGUGGUGAGUCGGAGAGAGGGGGCGGGAGCCGGAUGGAGCACGGGCGCGUGGGGGAGGGCGGGCUUGGGGUGGGAAGCCGCGGGCGGCUGGGGAGAAGGGAGAGUGGCGGUGAGGGGGAAAGAAGCAGCGGCUAACGACGUGCCAGCAGAAGCAGUAAUAAUCGGAGGAGCCCACGUGCGAAC
rnacentral:rRNA from 1 species